AUUGUUUAUCGUAAGUGCUUGUGCACGUUAUGUCUGGGGUUUUUGUCCCAUUGUUUAUAUGGUUUUUGUUCACGGUGAUUUUUAUCAUUAAACUGCGCCGUUGUAACACAGUCUUUGCUCUCCUGCGCCUGACUUCUCUACCGCCAGUCGUCCUGUCUGAAAUGUUAGUGAUUCAAUCCAAGUCAUUUCUGUUGGAAAAGGUCACAGGUGUCUUUCCUGUGUUCCAUAAGUGCAGGCCCCCCACCUAUCUUGCCAGUUUGGCAGGCAGGAACAAGGCCACGUCCAUAGUUAGUUGAACAAUGGCACUCUAGAUUCCGGAAAACGACACAUCCCAAUUAGACCUACUGUAUGACUCAUCUGAUAUUAACCCCACUGGACUGAGGGAGGCUUCCCAUUCAUAUUCUGGGGUUGCCACGUUUUCUUUACAUUAGCGCUUUUGCACAGGAGUGUCAUGCACCCCCAAAAUCGAAGGGGGCAAAACCGAAGUACGUGAGGAUGGCUGGGGGGGGGGGGGACUAGGCCCCGACCAUAAGUUGGAACAUUUUUCAAACACCUGAAACAAUCAAGCGCCAUGGUCAUUAUGGUCAUUAUGCUUAAUUCUAUGUUUAAACAAAGAUAUGUCUAUUUUUCUGCAUGUCUUGAGCUGUCUAUAUCCUCCUGACUACCAACCUUGCCAGCAGGAAUGACAGCUAAAAUGGUUAGACAAGCUAGCUACUCUAACUUGAUUGACAGCCUGAAAUGGCUUCUUGGUAGUUAUGAGG